AAGUUGUUGGGAAAAAAUCCUUAGAUUUCCUUAGAUUUUUUCUCUUCCUUAGAUUUUCCUUUUCGACACUAGAAUUUCCUUAGAAAAGGAAAUUUCCUUGAAAAUGGAAGCAUUGUCGUGGAGACCGGAGACGUGGCAAUCUCGUUCCCAGAGUAUGCCUGUUCGCGGGUUAGGUUGAGGCACAACCUAACCCGCGAACAGGCAUACUCUGGGAACGAGAUUGGAGACGUGGAGUUAUUAUAUCACAUAUUCCAGUGCUUCCACAUUCAAUUCAAAUCUAAAUUUCUAGUUGUUUCCAUGAAAAAUCCUGAUUAUCCUGCAGUUCAAUAGUGCUAGUUCCAUUUUGUAAUUCAUAAUACCAUAAACAGACACACAAUUUUUUUUUCAAUUCAAACCGUGAAGAAAUCCCCUACGCUCCCCUACAGAUUACCCUUUCUCCCCGUAGGUAUUCCCCACUCCCUAC